rnacentral:tRNA from 1 species
UUAAAAAUAAGUUAAAUAAACUUUUAGACUCAUAAUCUAAAUAUAGACAAAAUCUUUUUUAAA